GAAAAAAAAAAAGAAGGAGAGAGAAAGUGCAGAGAGAAAAAUAAUAAGGGUAUUUUUGUCAGUUUGCUGAAAAUCCGAUCAGAAUCUGCAAAAUCGAAAAAGUGGCCCACUUUUGCAAAAGAUCAAAACUAGUGGAUUUUUUAUGCAAAUUGGCCAUUUAUUAUGUUUGCAGGGGCAUGUAUGAAAUAACCCUAAACCCUUUUUCUUAAUCCCCGGAAUAGCUUAUUAUUUCGGAAUAGUGGGGAUUAAAAGUAAAAUUGUGUUUGGUUAAUUUUAUGAAAUAGUAGAGAAUAGUUAAAAAAAAAGUGAUGGUUGAUUUUAAUAUAAAUAUAAUGUAAUUAAACAUAAUUUGUUAUAAAAAAUAAUUCAUUAUAAUAUUUAAUAAAAAUAAUUUAUUAUAAAUUAUGGUUUAAUAGAAAUAAUUUUUUUAUAUAUAUAAAUUUUUUAAAAUUCUACUUAAACUUAAAUUUAUUAUAAUAUUUAAAUAUAAAUAAUAUAUAUUAAUAUAGUAUAAUUAAUAAUUAUAUAAUAAAAAUAAUUUAUUAUAAUAUAUAAUAUAUUAUUUCUAUAUAAUUUAGUUUUAAUUAAAUUUAUAAUCUUAAUAAAACUUGGAAUUAAAACUUGGAAUAUCACUAUUCCGCCAACAAGGUGGAAUAGUUACUUCCAAGUUAUUUCGGGAUAACCGAGGAUAGCAAGAUUUGACUGGGAUAAAAUAUCCCGAUAAAAAAAUACUCCGUUUGGCGAAAUAGCGGGGAUAACUUUUGUUAUCCCCGUUUUAUUUUCCAAC
rnacentral:lncRNA from 1 species